GCUUGUCUCAAAGAUUAAGCCAUGCAUGUCUAAGUGUAAAUAAGUCUAUACUGUGAAACUGCGAAUGGCUCAUUAAAUCAGUUAUCGUUUAUUUGAUGAUCUCUUACUACUUGGAUAACCGUAGUAAUUCUAGAGCUAAUACAUGCAAAAAAACCCAGACUUACGAAUGGGUGCACUUAUUAGAUAAAGCCAACGCUGGGUAAAACCAGUUUCCCUUGGUGAUUCAUAAUAAUUAAGCGGAUCGCAUGGCCUUGUGCUAGCGACAGUCCACUCGAUUUUCUGCCCUAUCAUGGUUGAGAUUGUAAGAUAGAGGCUUACAAUGCCUACAACGGGUAACGGGGAAUUAGGGUUCGAUUCCGGAGAGGGAGCCUGAGAAACGGCUACCACAUCCAAGGAAGGCAGCAGG
rnacentral:rRNA from 1 species